rnacentral:rRNA from 1 species
CCUACGGGAGACAGCAGUGAGGAAUAUUGGUCAAUGGGCGCGAGCCUGAACCAGCCAAGUAGCGUGAAGGAUGACUGCCCUACGGGUUGUAAACUUCUUUUAUAAAGGAAUACAGUGAGGCACGUGUGCCUUUUUGUAUGUACUUUAUGAAUAAGGAUCGGCUAACUCCGUGCCAUCAGCCGCGGUAAUACGGAGGAUCCGAGCGUUAUCCGGAUUUAUUGGGUUUAAAGGGAGCGUAGAUGGGUUGUUAAGUCAGUUGUGAAAGUUUGCGGCUCAACCGUAAAAUUGCAAUUGAUACUGGCAGUCUUGAGUACAGUUGAGGUAGGCGGAAUUCGUGGUGUAGCGGUGAAAUGCUUAGAUAUCACGAAGAACUCCGAUUGCGAAGGCAGCUUACUAAACUGCCACUGACAUUGAUGCUCGAAAGUGUGGGUAUCAAACAGGAUUAGAUACCCCGGUAGUC